rnacentral:rRNA from 1 species
GGUAAUACGGAGGGUGCAAGCGUUAAUCGGAAUUACUGGGCGUAAAGCGCACGCAGGCGGUUUGUUAAGUCAGAUGUGAAAUCCCCGAGCUUAACUUGGGAACUGCAUUUGAAACUGGCAAGCUAGAGUCUUGUAGAGGGGGGUAGAAUUCCAGGUGUAGCGGUGAAAUGCGUAGAGAUCUGGAGGAAUACCGGUGGCGAAGGCGGCCCCCUGGACAAAGACUGACGCUCAGGUGCGAAAGCGUGGGGAGCAAACAGGAUUA